rnacentral:rRNA from 1 species
CCUACGGGGUGCUGCAGUGAGGAAUAUUGGUCAAUGGCCGUAAGGCUGAACCAGCCAAGUCGCGUGAAGGAAGAAGGAUCUAUGGUUUGUAAACUUCUUUUGUCAGGGAAGAGUAGAAGACGGUACCUGACGAAUAAGCCACGGCUAACUACGUGCCAGCAGCCGCGGUAAUACGUAGGUGGCAAGCGUUGUCCGGAUUUACUGGGUGUAAAGGGCGUGUAGCCGGGUUGACAAGUCAGAUGUGAAAUCCUGCGGCUUAACCGCAGAACUGCAUUUGAAACUGUUGAUCUUGAGUACUGGAGAGGCAGACGGAAUUCCUAGUGUAGCGGUGAAAUGCGUAGAUAUUAGGAGGAACACCAGUGGCGAAGGCGGUCUGCUGGACAGCAACUGACGGUGAGGCGCGAAAGCGUGGGGAGCAAACAGGAUUAGAUACCCGAGUAGUC